GGGAGUGCAGUGAUGAAGCUUAAGUGGACUAGAGUUUCUGAUCUUUGGAUUGAAGACAACCCCUUGGCUGUCUGAGCACUCAU
rnacentral:snoRNA from 1 species